AUGCCUCUAAGACGUGACCUCGCAUUCGCCUUCGCACAGGAGCUCACCCAGUUGAUCCAACAGCAAAAUGCCUUGAUGCAGUUGCUAGUCCAGAACCAAGGCAAUAACAAAAACAACCCACCGCCACCACCUCCAGUUGACAACUUAGCCCGUUUUCUAAGGUUGAAUCCGCCGGUGUUCUCUAGUAGCGCCGAGCCGAUUGUUGUUGAUGACUGGCUCCGCAAGAUUGGAAGGGAGCUGACCACCACAGGUUGCACAGAUGCUGAGAAGGUGCGCUUUGCCGCACAUCAACUGGAUGGACCCACAGCCUCAUGGUGGGAGAACUACACAAUCACUUUCCCCGUGGCCAAUGUCACUUGGGACUAG
rnacentral:rRNA from 1 species